GAUGAAGAACGUAGCGAAAUGCGAUACUUGGUGUGAAUUGCAGAAUCCCGUGAACCAUCGAGUCUUUGAACGCAAGUUGCGCCCGAAGCCAUUAGGCCGAGGGCAUGCCUGCCUGGGCGUCACACGUCGUUGCCCCCCCAUCUACUCCUUCGGGAUUGCGGGGGGCGGAUGAUGGCCUCUCGUGCGCCUCGUCGCGCGGUUGGCCUAAAUGCCAAGUCCUCGGCGACGCACGCCACGACAAUCGGUGGUUGCGAAACCUCGGUUGCCUGUCGUGUGCGGUCGUCGCGCAUCGAGGGCUCGAAAAAAUUGCCGGGCUUCGGCUCGACUUUCAACGCGACCCCAGGUCAGGCGGGGUUACCCGCUGAAUUUAAGCAUAUCAAUAAGCGGAGGA
rnacentral:misc_RNA from 1 species